rnacentral:rRNA from 1 species
UACGAAUGGAGCGAGCGUUGUUCGGAAUCACUGGGCGUAAAGCGUACGCAGGCGGUCUUGAAAGUUAGAAGUGAAAGCCCUGGGCUUAACCCAGGAAUUGCUUUUAAAACUCCAAGACUAGAAUACUGGAGAGGUUGGCGGAAUUCCGAGUGUAGAGGUGAAAUUCGCAGAUAUUCGGAGGAACACCAAUGGCGUAGGCAGCCAACUGGACAGUUAUUGACGCUCAUGUACGAAAGCGUGGGGAUCAAACAGG